GGGUUGCGGACAGUGUCUGGUGGGUAGUUUGACUGGGGCGGUCUCCUCCCAAAGAGUAACGGAGGAGCACGAAGGUUAGCUAAUCCUGGUCGGACAUCAGGAGGUUAGUGCAAUGGCAUAAGCUAGCUUGACUGCGAGCGUGACGGCGCGAGCAGGUGCGAAAGCAGGUCAUAGUGAUCCGGUGGUUCUGAAUGGAAGGGCCAUCGCUCAACGGAUAAAAGGUACUCCGGGGAUAACAGGCUGAUACCGCCCAAGAGUUCAUAUCGACGGCGGUGUUUGGCACCUCGAUGUCGGCUCAUCACAUCCUGGGGCUGAAGUAGGUCCCAAGGGUAUGGCUGUUCGCCAUUUAAAGUGGUACGCGAGCUGGGUUUAGAACGUCGUGAGACAGUUCGGUCCCUAUCUGCCGUGGGCGCUGGAGAAUUGAGGGGGGCUGCUCCUAGUACGAGAGGACCGGAGUGGACGCAUCACUGGUGUUCGGGUUGUCAUGCCAAUGGCAUUGCCCGGUAGCUAAAUGCGGAAGAGAUAAGUGCUGAAAGCAUCUAAGCACGAAACUUGCCCCGAGAUGAGUUCUCCCUGAGACUUUAAGUCUCCUGAAGGAACGUUAAAGACGAUGACGUUGAUAGGUCGGGUGUGUAAGCGUAGCGAUACGUUGAGCUAACCGAUACUAAUGAACCGUGAGGCUUAACCUUACAACGCCGAAG
rnacentral:rRNA from 1 species